ensembl:lncRNA
UCGGGCUAGCUAGCCAAUGGGAUAGGUCCAUGAUUUGAUUCGUCCCCGCACGUGCGGCUCGGUGACGGUGACUUGUCACUCGAUUGCAUUGGUCAUCAACUGUCUUUUUUACAUGACCACGGAAUCAAAAACAUCAACAACAGCAAAUGAGUGGCGUGUUACGAUCGAAAACACAGAUCCAUCCAACUGUCUGCAAACAUGGAUCUCUGAUGCAGCAGUGCAGUUGGGAGAUUCUUACGGGUGCCAAGUUUGCAGAAAAUUUGGCGAUUACCCAGCCAUGGUUGCACAUGUUCAAACACAUGACAGAGCAGCCAUAUCUCACAAUGGCUACAAAAUAGAGAGGUGCCAACACAACUGUGCCAACACAAGAUCUCCACACUACCACUGUGUGUGCUCAACCAUUACUGGCAGCAAAAUUUCAUGCAUAAAGCACCUGCAGACCUGCCCUGGCAUGAGGACACCACCUCCAUCUCAAGGCCUCAGCACGCCGAGCCCAAUGCCAGCCACGCACCCGCCACCUCCAUCUCAAGGCCUCAGCAAGCCGAGCCCAAUGCCAGCCACCACCCGCCACCUCCAUCUCAAGGCCUCAGCACGCCGAGCCCAAUGCCAGCCACGCACCCGCCACCUCCAUCUCAAGGCCUCAGCACGCCGAGCCCAAUGCCAGCCACGCACCCGCCACCUCCAUC